GAUCCAGUCAAACAAGAUGGCAAAGGUUUCCCAUACCAUGUGUAUAUUGGAGAAUCACUGUCACUCUGAAUUAAAUGUUGUGAACCUUAAACUGACAUUUUCCUGUUUUAUGAGCCUAUCUCCAUAAUUCCAUUUUAUAUCCCUUGAUACUGAUCUUAAAAUUUCCAAUUUAUUUUUCAGCUGGGCCAUGAAUUUCCAGCAGAUGCUCCAUACCUUCCUCACCAGAAGCCCCUGCCUACGGUGGAGAAAACUGUCCUACCGAAGAAACUCUACAUUAUUCAACAGCCACGCAGAUUUUAGAUGUGACCUUUAAUAUGCUGUAAUUUUGUAUGGGCUCUUUUCUGUUUUCUAAAAGGACCAAUCUUUGUAUAUAAAACUUUUGUCAAUCAAUGAUAAAGCACUUAAAUGCAUUUUUUUCGGGGGCGUGAAUUUCUUUUGAUUCUAAUGUAUUGAUGUCAUUGGAAAUAAAAAAAAUCCCACUGCUUA